AUGAAUGAGAUAGAAUCAACAGCCUCAAUGAAGCUCGUGCCCACUUUGGAGCAUCCUUGCAACAUGAGCGUAGUGUCAGCCCCGACAACUACCUCGGCAACGACGGUUUCACCUUCCUCCACACCGACCUCAGUAGCGGCCACGACCGUCUCGGUUGUGUGUGCAGUGAAUCACGAUGACAAUGUGGCAACUUCUGAGUUGUCCAUCAGUCAUUCAGCAAUGGCUUCCAUGUCGAGGGAUAUCGCCGCUCCUUGCGGGUCUUCGAUGUGCCUUAUUGCCACCAAUAUUAUGCUAGCAACGGCGCUCAGUCCAGAUCUCACAGUGCAAGCUGGGUUGUCACCAUCAACCUGCCCUUCCAGCUCGGCUCGUGAGGACGCCAUUAACACUAAUGACACCUACACUAGAAAGGUGUUCAUGGAAACUGUGGGCAUGUUCCUGACCACUCCAGCAGCAUCAGAAAGCUCAAUCUCCCGGUCACUGCAUUGGUUUGAAGAUUGA
rnacentral:rRNA from 1 species